ACACACGGCGGGUGCUAACGUCCGUCGUGAAGAGGGAAACAACCCAGACCGCCAGCUAAGGUCCCAAAGUCAUGGUUAAGUGGGAAACGAUGUGGGAAGGCCCAGACAGCCAGGAUGUUGGCUUAGAAGCAGCCAUCAUUUAAAGAAAGCGUAAUAGCUCACUGGUCGAGUCGGCCUGCGCGGAAGAUGUAACGGGGCUAAACCAUGCACCGAAGCUGCGGCAGCGACACUGUGUGUUGUUGGGUAGGGGAGCGUUCUGUAAGCCUGCGAAGGUGUGCUGUGAGGCAUGCUGGAGGUAUCAGAAGUGCGAAUGCUGACAUAAGUAACGAUAAAGCGGGUGAAAAGCCCGCUCGCCGGAAGACCAAGGGUUCCUGUCCAACGUUAAUCGGGGCAGGGUGAGUCGACCCCUAAGGCGAGGCCGAAAGGCGUAGUCGAUGGGAAACAGGUUAAUAUUCCUGUACUUGGUGUUACUGCGAAGGGGGGACGGAGAAGGCUAUGUUGGCCGGGCGACGGUUGUCCCGGUUUAAGCGUGUAGGCUGGUUUUCCAGGCAAAUCCGGAAAAUCAAGGCUGAGGCGUGAUGACGAGGCACUACGGUGCUGAAGCAACAAAUGCCCUGCUUCCAGGAAAAGCCUCUAAGCAUCAGGUAACAUCAAAUCGUACCCCAAACCGACACAGGUGGUCAGGUAGAGAAUACCAAGGCGCUUGAGAGAACUCGGGUGAAGGAACUAGGCAAAAUGGUGCCGUAACUUCGGGAGAAGGCACGCUGAUACGUAGGUGAAGUCCCUCGCGGAUGGAGCUGAAAUCAGUCGAAGAUACCAGCUGGCUGCAACUGUUUAUUAAAAACACAGCACUGUGCAAACACGAAAGUGGACGUAUACGGUGUGACGCCUGCCCGGUGCCGGAAGGUUAAUUGAUGGGGUCAGCGCAAGCGAAGCUCUUGAUCGAAGCCCCGGUAAACGGCGGCCGUAACUAUAACGGUCCUAAGGUAGCGAAAUUCCUUGUCGGGUAAGUUCCGACCUGCACGAAUGGCGUAAUGAUGGCCAGGCUGUCUCCACCCGAGACUCAGUGAAAUUGAACUCGCUGUGAAGAUGCAGUGUACCCGCGGCAAGACGGAAAGACCCCGUGAACCUUUACUAUAGCUUGACACUGAACAUUGAGCCUUGAUGUGUAGGAUAGGUGGGAGGCUUUGAAGUGUGGACGCCAGUCUGCAUGGAGCCGACCUUGAAAUACCACCCUUUAAUGUUUGAUGUUCUAACGUUGACCCGUAAUCCGGGUUGCGGACAGUGUCUGGUGGGUAGUUUGACUGGGGCGGUCUCCUCCUAAAGAGUAACGGAGGAGCACGAAGGUUGGCUAAUCCUGGUCGGACAUCAGGAGGUUAGUGCAAUGGCAUAAGCCAGCUUGACUGCGAGCGUGACGGCGCGAGCAGGUGCGAAAGCAGGUCAUAGUGAUCCGGUGGUUCUGAAUGGAAGGGCCAUCGCUCAACGGAUAAAAGGUACUCCGGGGAUAACAGGCUGAUACCGCCCAAGAGUUCAUAUCGACGGCGGUGUUUGGCACCUCGAUGUCGGCUCAUCACAUCCUGGGGCUGAAGUAGGUCCCAAGGGUAUGGCUGUUCGCCAUUUAAAGUGGUACGCGAGCUGGGUUUAGAACGUCGUGAGACAGUUCGGUCCCUAUCUGCCGUGGGCGCUGGAGAACUGAGGGGGGCUGCUCCUAGUACGAGAGGACCGGAGUGGACGCAUCACUGGUGUUCGGGUUGUCAUGCCAAUGGCACUGCCCGGUAGCUAAAUGCGGAAGAGAUAAGUGCUGAAAGCAUCUAAGCACGAAACUUGCC
rnacentral:rRNA from 1 species